CAAUAGCGUAUAUUAAAGUUGUUGCAGUUAAAAAGCUCGUAGUUGGAUUUCUGGUAGGAGCGACCGUGCCGAACUUGAUUGUUCGAGUAUUGUGUUGUCUUCAGCCAUCCUCGUGGAGAACUUUUCUAACAUUAACUUGUUGGGAUUGGGACCCGCGUCGUUUACUGUGAAAAAAUUAGAGUGUUUAAAGCAGGCAUUAGCUUGAAUACAUUAGCACGAAAUAAUAAGAUAGGACUUUGGUACUAUUUUGUUGGUUUGCAUACCAAAUUAAUGAUCAACAGGAACAGUUUGGGGAUAUUCGUAUGAACAUGUCAGAGGUGAAAUUCUUGGAUUUUGAUCAGACGAACUACUGCGAAAGCAUCUAUCAAGGAUGUUUUCAUUAA
rnacentral:rRNA from 1 species